rnacentral:rRNA from 1 species
GACGAACCACACGAACGUUAUUCGGAAUCACUGGGCUUAAAGGGUGCGUAGGCGGCGCGGAAAGUAGGGUGUGAAAUCCCUCGGCUUAACCGAGGAAUAGCGCUCUAAACUACCGUGCUCGAGGGAGAUGAGAGGUGAGCGGAACUUAGGGUGGAGCGGUGAAAUGCGUAGAGAUCGGAAGGAACGCCGGUGGCGAAGCGACACGCUGGACCUCUUCUGACGCUGAGGCGCGAAAGCCAGGGGAGCAAAGCGGG